AUCUACUAUAAUAAGCAACUUCGAACGAAGAGUUGAGUGCAGAAAGCUUUUUGUUGAUAUUUUAGCCGUUUGAGUUGCUUUCUAUUUAAGUUUAACUAUGUCUGGUAGAGAAGGAGGCAAAAAGAAACCGUUAAAGCAACCAAAAAAGAAGACGCAGGAAUUAGAUGAGGAUGACGUAGCGCAAAAGCAGAAGAUGAGAGAAGAGCAAAAAAAAUUACAAGAAGCAAAAGCAAAGGCUGCAGGAAAGGGACCUAUGGGUGGUAGCGGUAUAAAGAAAUCUGGGAAAAAGUGACUUAUGAAUUUGACAAUCAUGAAAGUAUACAAGUAGAACUCAUUUUUGUAUUUGGAUACAAGCCCAUUCUAUGAAUUAUAGGAAAUACUUGUAUGUUUAAGACUCAAUGCGUGAUGAAAAUGUACAAAAAUGUACUAGAAUAAAAACUAAUGAAAUUUUUCAAAUAGAA